UUUCCUACGGGAGGCAGCAGUGAGGAAUAUUGGGCAAUGGAGGCAACUCUGACCCAGCCAUGCCGCGUGAGUGAAGAAGGUUUUCGGAUUGUAAAGCUCUUUCGGAUGUGACGAUGAUGACGGUAGCAUCUAAAGAAGCCCCGGCUAACUACGUGCCAGCAGCCGCGGUAAUACGUAGGGGGCAAGCGUUAUCCGGAUUUACUGGGUGUAAAGGGAGCGUAGACGGCCAGACAAGUCAGAAGUGAAAGCCCAGGGCUCAACCCUGGGACUGCUUUUGAAACUGCCGGGCUGGAGUGCAGGAGAGG
rnacentral:rRNA from 1 species